rnacentral:rRNA from 1 species
GGGCAUGCAACCAGACUUGUCGGCGGUGUUCCGCCGGUCUUCUGACCGGUCUACUCGCCGCCGGCAGGCCAGCAUCACUUGGGCGCGCCGGAUAAAGGCGCGAGGAAUGUAGCCCCUCGGGGUGUUAUAGCCUCGCGUACAAUACGGCGCCGCCCGAGUGAGGUCCGCGCUUCGGCUAGGAUGCUGGCGUAAUGGUUGUUUGCCGCCCGUCUUGAAACACGGACCAAGGAGUCUAACAUCUAUGCGAGUGUUCGGGUGUCAAACCCCUACGCGGAAUGAAAGUGAACGGAGGUGGGAAGCGCAAGCUGCACCAUCGACCGAUCCUGAUGUCUUCGGAUGGAUUUGAGUAAGAGCAUAGCUGUUGGGACCCGAAAGAUGGUGAACUAUGCCUGAAUAGGGUGAAG